GACGUAGGUGGCGAACGUUAUCCGGAAUCAUUGGGCGUAAAGGGUGCGUAGAUGGCCUGAUAAGUUAGCAGUGGGAAAUCGAGGCUCAACCUCGUGGAAGCUGGUAAUACUGUCAGGCUCGAGUGCAGGAGAGGUUAACGGAACUCCAUGUGGAGCGGUAAAAUGUGUAGAUAUAUGGAAGAACACCAAUAACGGCGAAGGCAGUUAACUAUUCUGUUACUGACAUUGAGGCACGAAAGCGUGGGGAGCAAAACGG
rnacentral:rRNA from 1 species